AGUGAACGCUGGCGGUAGGCCUAACACAUGCAAGUCGAACGGCAGCACAGGAGAGCUUGCUCUCUAGGUGGCGAGUGGCGGACGGGUGAGGAAUACAUCGGAAUCUGCCCAGUCGUGGGGGAUAACGUAGGGAAACUUACGCUAAUACCGCAUACGACCUUCGGGUGAAAGAGGGGGAUCGCAAGACCUCUCGCGAUUGGAUGAGCCGAUGUCGGAUUAGCUAGUUAGCGGGGUAAUGGCCCACCGAGGCGACGAUCCGUAGCUGGUCUGAGAGGAUGAUCAGCCACACUGGAACUGAGACACGGUCCAGACUCCUACGGGAGGCAGCAGUGGGGAAUAUUGGACAAUGGGCGCAAGCCUGAUCCAGCCAUACCGCGUGGGUGAAGAAGGCCUUCGGGUUGUAAAGCCCUUUUGUUGGGAAAGAAAUCUUUCAGGCUAAUACCCUGGGAGGAUGACGGUACCCAAAGAAUAAGCACCGGCUAACUUCGUG
rnacentral:rRNA from 1 species